CAGUAGCCACGGUAACACGUAGGGUGCGAGCGUUAAUCGGAAUUACUGGGCGUAAAGCGGGCGCAGACGGUUACUUAAGCAGGAUGUGAAAUCCCCGGGCUCAACCUGGGAACUGCGUUCUGAACUGGGUGACUAGAGUGUGUCAGAGGGAGGUAGAAUUCCACGUGUAGCAGUGAAAUGCGUAGAGAUGUGGAGGAAUACCGAUGGCGAAGGCAGCCUCCUGGGAUAACACUGACGUUCAUGCCCGAAAGCGUGGGUAGCAAACAGGAUUAGAUACCCCAGUAGUCCCUGUCUCUUAUAC
rnacentral:rRNA from 1 species